UGCGAGAGAUGGGUCGGAGAGGGGGGGAUACCUGAUUCACUGGUCAGGAAAAAGUGGGUGGAAAACUGGGAGAGCUUCAGAGAGAGAGCGCUGGUUACAACCGGGUCUCCAAGGAUGACCCAGAGCUGGCCUUGAGGACGAGCAGGCGGAAAUACGGCACAAGCAGAGGCCUGCGGUGGGAGAGCGGGUUGUGUGGCUCCGUCAGGGUCUCUCCGGGGAAAACAGACACCUCUUGGAGUUUAUGCAACAGAGGGAAUGUAAAGCAGGGGUGCGGCUCUGCGGAGGAGAGCGGUGCUGAGAACUCCACAGGGGAUGACGGGGCAAGGCAGAAACGGGCAUCGGCAGGAAGCCACAGCCACCCCUGCUAGAGGGAAAAAAGAAGAACCCAAACCCAGAGCUGAAACCACAGCGGGCCUGUUGGGGGAGAGCUGGAACUAGAGAAGACACAUGGUUACUGCUGCACAAGUCCCCAGGGCAGCAAGGAGGGGAAGGCCCUGCCCUCUCCUUUCUUCUUAGCCUCCGUCAUUUUCUGGGACAUCUGAAACAGUGCCACUGCAGGGGUCAGUGGCGACUGGUGAAAACAGAGCAGGGAAAGCGCGAGGCUGGAUUCAGGGCAAACAGGCCCAGGACCGGUAAUGCAUCUUUGGGUAACCGUGAGUAUCGGUAAUGGACAGUAAUGACAGCCAACAUCUUUAAGCGCUUACUAAACGCUGGUCUAUUUCAUCGUCUCAUUAGAGAACGGAUAACUUGAAAAUCAAAAAACUAAGGAGGAACUAAUCUCAGAAUUUCAGAGCUGACUAGAUUUAGCUCAAUGAACAAAUCACUGCAUGGUUCCUGCGUUUCCCAUGUUGUUUUAAACCAGUGUAAGCAAGGGCCCCAAAGUACAGAUUGGCAUCAGUGCAAGAAUUAAUAUUGAGAGUAUCUAUCCAUUGGCAGCUUAUUAGCAACAAUUUGAGUGUGAAUAUAGCUUGGAUAAGAAAUAGGAUGGUGUUUUGUGUUUCUUAAAAUCAUUUGCAGCUCAAACUUCCCACUAACUUCAUCUGGUUUCUGUCCUCUCCCACCGCACAAUUAGUCUGAAUAUUUGAGGUUUCCCUAUUGUCUCCAGAAAGGUUCUUGGAGACAAGGUCAAAGUAAGGGCAAGUCUCAUAGGUCAGAGUAUUCUGUUUUGAGCCAUAUAAAUGUGUCUUCAAAUAAUUUUUUUUUUUUUAAAUAAAAUCCUGUGUCUCUGAAGUUAUUUGGUUUUCAAACCAAAUGGGUGAGUAGGUCUUGGGUUCCAACCAGAGACCAUUAUUUUAAAGGUGACCAAUGAUUUUUAAACGAUAAUCAAUCACAGUGCAAAUGGACAAAGAGAGUUCACUUCAGCUAUAGGGAAGGCAAGGCUCUAAUCAAUGAGUGGGUGGGUCUGACUUGUUUGGGGCCAGUGACCUUGCCCAGCUCUGGCAUUUUUUCAGACCUUUUUUUUGACCAUUCAACCCUACACAGUUCUUAGUUUAUGAGUCACAGGUCACCCUGAGGGCAACAUCUCCCUUUCCUGGGGGUUUGUAUGAAAAUUCUACCCUGUAAGCUGAGUGCCAUCAUCUUUAAGAUUCUUUCUUCUGACAUUUCAGGGACAAGCUGUCAGAAGUGUAUGAAGCAUCUUAGCCUCUUCCUUUUUAAAUAAAGCAAAGCAUCCUGUGAGGAAA